GUUUUGGUGAUGGUGAUGUGUUUGUAGAUCUUACUUUACUGAACAUUCUUGCUGCGUACAAUUAUCCCUAUCUAUAAGAAUUGGCCCAGGGGAAAAUGUUAGUAAAAAUUUACAAAUUUUAUGAAAAUUGUUACAAAUUUACCAUAAAGGGCAAUAACUCCUUAGGGGGUCAAUUGACCAUUUUGGUCAUGUUGACUUAUUUUUAGGUCUUACUUUGCUGUAAAUUAUUGCUGUUUACAGUUUAUCUCUAUCUAUAAUAACAUUCAAGAUAAUAACAAAAAA
rnacentral:lncRNA from 1 species